rnacentral:rRNA from 1 species
CAGUCGCCGCGGUAAUACGAAGGGGGCUAGCGUUGUUCGGAAUUACUGGGCGUAAAGCGCACGUAGGCGGACAUUUAAGUCAGGGGUGAAAUCCCGGGGCUCAACCCCGGAACUGCCUUUGAUACUGGGUGUCUUGAGUGUGGAAGAGGUCAGUGGAAUUGCGAGUGUAGAGGUGAAAUUCGUAGAUAUUCGCAGGAACACCAGUGGCGAAGGCGGCUGACUGGUCCACAACUGACGCUGAGGUGCGAAAGCGUGGGGAGCAAACAGGAUUAGAUACCCCAGUAGUCCCUGUCUCUUAUAC